UACGAAGGUCACAAGCGUUAUCCGGAAUUAUUGGGCGUAAAGAGCUCGUAGGUGGUGAAGCGGGUCUCGCGUUAAAACCCCAAGCUUAACUUGGGUCUCGCGUGAGAAACUACUUUGCUAAGAGGAUGGCAGGGGCAAAUGGAAUUCCUGGUGUAGCAGUGAAAUGCGUUGAUAUCAGGAAGAACACCAAUGGCGAAGGCAAUUUGCUAGGCUAUACCUGACACUAAGGAGCGAAAGCGUGGGGAGCGAACGGG
rnacentral:rRNA from 1 species